rnacentral:rRNA from 1 species
AACUAACGCUGGCGGCGUGCCUAACACAUGCAAGUCGGACGAGAAAUCCUGGGCAACCGGGAGAGUAAAGUGGCGCACGGGUGAGUAACGCGUGGGUAACCUGCCCUUGAAUUGGGGAUAACUUCGCGAAAGCGGGGCUAAUACCGGAUAAUAUGUCGAUUCCCUCGGGAGUUGACAUCAAAGGUGGCCUCUGCAUGCAAGCUACCGUUUAAGGAUGGGCCCGCGUACCAUUAGCUUGUUGGUAGGGUAAUGGCCUACCAAGGCAACGAUGGUUAGCUGGUCUGAGAGGAUGACCAGCCACACUGGAACUGAGACACGGUCCAGACUCCUACGGGUGGCUG